CAGCCGCCGCGGUAAAACCAGCACCUCGAGUGGUCAGGAGGUUUAUUGGGCCUAAAGCAUCCGUAGCCGGUUGCAUAAGUUUUCGGUUAAAUCUAUGCGCUUAACGUAUAGGCCGCCGAAAAUACUGUGCAGCUAGGGAGUGGGAGAGGUACACGGUACUCGAUAGGAAGGGGUAAAAUCCUUUGAUCUAUUGAUGACCACCUGUGGCGAAGGCGGUGUACCAGAACACGUUCGACGGUGAGGGAUGAAAGCUGGGGGAGCAAACCGGAUUAGAUACCCGGGUAGUCCCAGCUGUAAACGAUGCAGACUCGGUGAUGCAUUGGCUUGUGGCCAAUGCAGUGCCGCAGGGAAGCCGUUAAGUCUGCCGCCUGGGAAGUACGUACGCAGGUAUGAAACUUAGAGGAAUUGGCGGGGGAGCAC
rnacentral:rRNA from 2 species